rnacentral:rRNA from 1 species
GGCUCAGAUUGAACGCUGGCGGCAGGCCUAACACAUGCAAGUCGAAUGGUAACAGGAAACAGCUUGCUGUUUCGCUGACGAGUGGCGGACGGGUGAGUAAUGUCUGGGAAACUGCCUGAUGAGGGGGAUAACUACUGGAAACGGUAGCUAAUACCGCAUAACGUCGCAAGACCAAAGAGGGGGGACCUUCGGGCCUCUUGCCAUCAGAUGUGCCCAGAUGGGAUUAGCUAGUAGGUGGGGUAACGGCCCACCUAGGCGACGAUCCCUAGCUGGUCUGAGAGGAUGACCAGCCACACUGGAACUGAGACACGGUCCAGACUCCUACGGGAGGCAGCAGUGGGGAAUAUUGCACAAUGGGCGCAAGCCUGAUGCAGCCAUGCCGCGUGUAUGAAGAAGGCCUUCGGGUUGUAAAGUACUUUCAGCGGGAGGAAGGGAGUAAAGUUAAUACCUUUGCUCAUUGACGUUACCCGCAGAAGAAGCACCGGCUAACUCCGUG